UAGUGUUAUAGCUCUUUUAGAAUUUGUCUAGCAGGUUUUCCAGCCCUUACCAGAAAACACCCCC